GACGAACGCUGGCGGCGUGCUUAACACAUGCAAGUCGAACGGAAAGGCCUGCUUUCCCUUGUGGAUUGCGGGUACUCGAGUGGCGAACGGGUGAGUAACACGUGAGUGAUCUGCCCCCAACUUGGGUAUAAGCCUGGGAAACUGGGUCUAAUUCCCGAUAGGACUGCAGGGUGGUGCCUGUGGUGGAAAACGAUUUUCUAGUGGUUGGGGAUGAGCUCGCGGCCUAUCAGCUUGUUGGUGGGGUAAUGGCCUACCAAGGCGGCGACGGGUAGCCGGCCUGGGAAGGUGGACGGCCACAUUGGGACUGAGAAACGGCCCCGACUCCUACGGGCGGCAGCAGUGGGGAAUAUUGCACAAUGGGCGGAAGCCUGAUGCAGCGACGCAGCGUGGGGGAUGACGGCCUUCGGGUUGUAAACUCCUUUCGACCGCGAGGAAGCCACCUGGUUGGAAGGGUGGUGACGGUAGUGGUAGAAGAAGCACCGGCUAACUACGUG
rnacentral:rRNA from 1 species